GUCAAUAGUUAUUAGUUAUUCAUGACAUUUGGUAAUAUAUCGAUAUCUCUGUGUUCUCUUAUGUCUGUGUCGUCAACAUUUGAACAUUUUUGAGCGGUCCGCUCUUUCUGACUGUAAACAAAGCCGUUCUCCACCUCCUCUAACCUGAUUGGUUGUGAGGCAGACGCUGCUCCCCCGUGUCGUUCAGGAGCCCAAACAAAGUUAGCGUGCUACAAUAUCGGACAGUAGAAACCAACCAGAAAGUUCGGAAAAUUGUCUGAAUCCUCCUUUGGCCACGACUGCCGACACAAGCAAGAAAACAAAGUAAAUACCGGCGACUCUGGAGGAAUAACGGGCGCUUAAAACGGAGGUAGACCGGACAAGAGCUAAAAAGCCGGGUCAACAUAAA